UACGUAGGGGGCAAGCGUUGUCCGGAUUUAUUGGGCGUAAAGAGCGUGUAGGCGGCCACACAGGUCAGCUGUGAAAACUCGAGGCUCAACCUCGAGACGUCGGUUGAAACCGUAUGGCUAGAGUCCGGAAGAGGAGAGUGGAAUUCCCGGUGUAGCGGUGAAAUGCGCAGAUAUCGGGAAGAACACCCGUGGCGAAGGCGGCUCUCUGGGACGGUACUGACGCUGAGGCGCGAAAGCCAGGGGAUCAAACGGG
rnacentral:rRNA from 1 species